UGGCAGUGACGACGAAUUCAUAUACCAUCAAACUAUGAAAGCGGUGUCCUGUUUCUGGGGCGAGCUUGUUGAUGUCAACAUGAAUGUUUCUGAGCCU